rnacentral:rRNA from 1 species
ACGCUGGCGGCGUGCUUAACACAUGCAAGUCGAACGCUGAAGCACCAGCUUGCUGGUGUGGAUGAGUGGCGAACGGGUGAGUAAUACGUGAGUAACCUGCCCUUGACUCUGGGAUAAGCCCGGGAAACUGGGUCUAAUACUGGAUGCUACAUGUCACCGCAUGGUGGUGUGUGGAAAGGGUUUACUGGUCUUGGAUGGGCUCACGGCCUAUCAGCUUGUUGGUGAGGUAAUGGCUCACCAAGGCGACGACGGGUAGCCGGCCUGAGAGGGUGACCGGCCACACUGGGACUGAGACACGGCCCAGACUCCUACGGGAGGCAGCAGUGGGGAAUAUUGCACAAUGGGCGAAAGCCUGAUGCAGCGACGCCGCGUGAGGGAUGACGGCCUUCGGGUUGUAAACCUCUUUCAGCAGGGAAGAAGCCACAAGUGACGGUACCUGCAGAAGAAGCGCCGGCUAACUACGUGCCAGCAGCCGCGGUAAUACGUAGGGCGCAAGCGUUGUCCGGAAUUAUUGGGCGUAAAGAGCUCGUAGGCGGUUUGUCGCGUCUGCUGUGAAAGCCCGGGGCUUAACCCCGGGUGUGCAGUGGGUACGGGCAGACU